rnacentral:rRNA from 1 species
AGUGAACGCUGGCGGUAGGCCUAACACAUGCAAGUCGAACGGCAGCACAGUAAGAGCUUGCUCUUACGGGUGGCGAGUGGCGGACGGGUGAGGAAUACAUCGGAAUCUACUUUUUCGUGGGGGAUAACGUAGGGAAACUUACGCUAAUACCGCAUACGACCUACGGGUGAAAGCAGGGGAUCUUCGGACCUUGCGCGAUUGAAUGAGCCGAUGUCGGAUUAGCUAGUUGGCGGGGUAAAGGCCCACCAAGGCGACGAUCCGUAGCUGGUCUGAGAGGAUGAUCAACCACACUGGAACUGAGACACGGUCCAGACUCCUACGGGAGGCAGCAGUGGGGAAUAUUGGACAAUGGGCGCAAGCCUGAUCCAGCCAUACCGCGUGGGUGAAGAAGGCCUUCGGGUUGUAAAGCCCUUUUGUUGGGAAAGAAAAGCAGCAGGCUAAUACCCCGCUGUUCUGACGGUACCCAAAGAAUAAGCACCGGCUAACUUCGUG